CCAAAUCUAUCAAAGCCUUCCCAAUAGCCAACUUCCCAAUAGUGCAUGGGAUAGUAAAACUACCAGGGUCUUUAAACUUCGNUGGAAGAAGCUUUUGAAUGAUGGCACUACAAUUCCCUUGAACUUCAAUGGUUUCUGCUUCAAUAUACUUCCUCUUUUUAGUCAGAAGCUCCUUCAUAAACUUGGCAUAGGCCGGCAUUUGCUUUAAUGCUUCCGAGAAGGGUAUUUUGAUCUCCAAUUGCUUGAAUAUCUCCAUAAACCGCCCAUAUUGCUUCUCUUUCUCUUUUCUAGAGUAGAUUUUUGGGUAUGGGAGUGGUUUCUCAAAUUCCUUCUUCUUUCCCUAAACUUCCUCUCUCUUUUUCUCAUUUC
rnacentral:lncRNA from 1 species